GCGAUGGUCUCCGCCGUGGCCGUGAAACACCCGCCGGGAGCCGUCCACUGAGCUAACCGUGAAGCUCCACCGCCGCGGUGAUCGCCGUGGAGGUUGCGCGAUUUGGCGGCGGAACCACCCGGUACGCACAAUCGAAUUCUGCAGCCGUUGGAUCAUCCUUGGUCGGCCCACAUUUACACAGGGUAGGGUGUAUACUCAACCGAUACGCCGCUAGCAAGGUCUCCGCCCGCCCUUGUGAGCCAUGUCCCCCCGCGCCGCGGCCGCCGGCGAAGGCGGCCGCCGCGAGGCCCUAGCCAAGGUAUCCCUUUCGUCAGUCUCCGCCGCCACGGCGGAGGUCGCGACCUUCCCCAUCGACGCCCUCAAGACGCGCCUCCAGCUCCACCGCGGCCCCGCUGGCGGCGGCGUCUUACGCGUUGCCGGCGAGCUCGUCCGCGACGGGGGGCACUACCGGGGUCUCUCCCCCGCUAUCCUCCGGCACCUCUUUUAUACCCCGCUCCGCAUCGUUGGCUACGAGCACCUCCGGUCCUCGCUCGCCAGCGGCGGCCGGGAGGUGGGCCUUCUCGAGAAGGCGAUCGCCGGGGGAGUCUCCGGCGUUGCCGCGCAGGUGCUGGCAAGCCCUGCUGAUCUCAUAAAGAUAAGGAUGCAGGCCGAUAGCAGAUUGUUGAGCCAAGGCAUUCAGCCACGUUAUACAGGAGUCUUAGAUGCCUUCACGAAAAUCAUACGCGCCGAAGGCUUUUUAGGACUUUGGAAGGGGGUUGCUCCUAAUGCCCAGCGAGCAUUUCUUGUCAACAUGGGUGAAUUGACCUGCUAUGACCAGGCAAAGCAUUUCAUCAUUCGCGAGCAGAUUUGUGAUGAUAAUUUGUAUGCUCAUACAUUGGCCUCUGUUGCCUCUGGCCUGUCUGCAACUACAUUGAGCUGCCCAGCAGAUGUGAUCAAAACUAGGAUGAUGAACCAGGGCCAGGAGGCGAAAGCUCUAUACAGGAAUUCAUAUGAUUGUUUGGUCAAGACUGUCAAACAUGAGGGUGCGACAGCACUGUGGAAGGGUUUCUUACCUACAUGGGCGAGGCUUGGUCCAUGGCAAUUUGUGUUCUGGGUUUCCUAUGAAAAACUGCGACAAGCAUCAGGGGAUUUCACAAUUGAGACCGGAUCAUACUUGACUUCGAUAAAUUUGAGGCCCUGAGGAGUGGUUGCGGGUGUUUGCGUGUAUGUGCGGGGAGGGUGUAGACUGUAGAGUAGGAAGAAGGUUUCCCCAAUUUUGCACAAAGCCUACAGAACGACAUGUCAAUGCUUCGAUCGUGCCAAAAGGAGAACCUUUUCUUCAGGAGAUCUCUUUCUUCAGAACCAUGCUUAUCGUAAACAUUUUCCAAAGUCCAUGGGCUGGACAUGCACACUUACGGGUUUGACAAUUUGGUCAUCCAAUCCAAGCAGAAAAUAGCGAAGCUCACACGGAAAGUACCUCCAUAGCUUGUUUGGUUGGGGGGAAUUAGGGAAAGGGAAAGGAAAUUGAAGGGGUAUGUGAUGUUAAAUCAUCUGUUUGGUUAGAGGGAAUGUGAGUAUAUGAGAGAUUGGCAUUGGAGUUGAGAGACCAGCUCCACUAUUUUUUUUUGAGAAAAAAAUAUAUUUCAUUACUUA